UGGGGAAUAUUGGACAAUGGGGGAAACCCUGAUCCAGCCAUGCCGCGUGAAUGAUGAAGGCCUUCGGGUUGUAAAGUUCUUUUGGUGGGGACGAUAAUGACGGUACCCACAGAAUAAGCUCCGGCUAACUUCGUGCCAGCAGCCGCGGUAAUACGAAGGGAGCUAGCGUUGUUCGGAAUUACUGGGCGUAAAGGGCGCGUAGGCGGUUAAACAAGUCAGGCGUGAAAGCCCCGGGCUCAACCCGGGAAUAGCGCUUGAGACUGUUUUUCUAUGAGUUCGGGAGAGGUAAGUGGAAUUCCCAGUGUAGCAGUGAAAUGCGUAGAUAUUGGGAAGAACACCAGUGGCGAAGGCGGCUUACUGGACCGACACUGACGCUGAGGCGCGAAAGCGUGGGGAGCAAACAGGAUUAGAUACCCCCGUAGUCC
rnacentral:rRNA from 1 species